CUGGUAAGGAAAUGAAAUAUUCUUUUAGCUACCUGUAGUGCUUUUGAUCAAUAAAGGGCUUCCCUGUCUUAUGAUCGCACCAAAAGCGGAUCAAAUCUGUGGGACAUGGCACAAGGAAAUAAUUAUGGGCAAAGCAGCAAUGGGGUGGCUGAUGAAUCCCCAAACAUGCUGGUGUACAGAAAGGGAACAAAUGUGUGCCACUGGAUUCCUCCAUGCAGAAGAAAUGGCACCC